UCCCCCAGUAGCGGCGAGCGAACGGGGAGGAGCCCAGAGCCUGAAUCAGCUUGUGUGUUAGUGGAAGCGUCUGGAAAGUCGCACGGUACAGGGUGAAAGUCCCGUACACGAAAAUGCACAGGCUGUGAGCUCGAUGAGUAGGGCGGGACACGUGGUAUCCUGUCUGAAUAUGGGGGGACCAUCCUCCAAGGCUAAAUACUCCUGACUGACCGAUAGUGAACCAGUACCGUGAGGGAAAGGCGAAAAGAACCCCGGCGAGGGGAGUGAAAAAGAACCUGAAACCGUGUACGUACAAGCAGUGGGAGCCUCUUU
rnacentral:rRNA from 1 species